rnacentral:rRNA from 1 species
GACGAACCGUGCAAGCGUUAUUCGGAAUCACUGGGCAUAAAGCGCACGUAGGCGGCUCUUUAAGUCAGGGGUGAAAUCCUGGAGCUCAACUCCAGAACUGCCUUUGAUACUGAGGGGCUUGAGUCCGGGAGAGGUGAGUGGAACUGCGAGUGUAGAGGUGAAAUUCGUAGAUAUUCGCAAGAACACCAGUGGCGAAGGCGGCUCACUGGCCCGGUACUGACGCUGAGGUGCGAAAGCGUGGGGAGCAAACAGG